UGCAGUCGACGGCAGCACAGCAGUAGCAAUACUGUGGGUGGCGAGUGGCGGACGGGUGAGGAAUACAUCGGGAUCUACCUUUUCGUGGGGGAUAACGUAGGGAAACUUACGCUAAUACCGCAUACGCCCUACGGGGGAAAGCGGCGGACCGCAAGGCGUCGCGCGAUGAGAUGAACCGAUGUCCGAUUAGCUAGUUGGCGGGGUAAAGGCCCACCAAGGCGACGAUCGGUAGCUGAUCUGAGAGGAUGAUCAGCCACACUGGAACUGAGACACGGUCCAGACUCCUACGGGAGGCAGCAGUGGGGAAUAUUGGACAAUGGGCGCAAGCCUGAUCCAGCCAUGCCGCGUGGGUGAAGAAGGCCUUCGGGUUGUAAAGCCCUUUUGUCCGGAAAGAAAAGCACGGGAUUAAUACCCUCGUGUGAUGACGGUACCGGAAGAAUAAGCACCGGCUAACUUCGUGCCAGCAGCCGCGGUAAUACGAAGGGUGCAAGCGUUACUCGGAAUUACUGGGCGUAAAGCGUGCGUAGGUGGUUUGUUAAGUCUGUCGUGAAAUCCCCGGGCUCAACCUGGGAAUGGCGAUGGAUACUGGCAAGCUAGAGUGAGGUAGAGGAGAGUGGAAUUCCCGGUGUAGCAGUGAAAUGCGUAGAGAUC
rnacentral:rRNA from 1 species